UGGGGAAUAUUGGACAAUGGGCGAAAGCCUGAUCCAGCCAUGCCGCGUGUGUGAAGAAGGUCUUCGGAUUGUAAAGCACUUUAAGUUGGGAGUAAGGGCAGUAAGCGAAUACCUUGCUGUUUUGACGUUACCGACAGAAUAAGCACCGGCUAACUCUGUGCCAGCAGCCGCGGUAAUACAGAAGGUGCAAGCGUUAAUCGGAAUUACUGGGCGUAAAGCGCGCGUAGGUGGUUCGGUAAGUUGAAUGUGAAAGCCACGGGCUCAACCUGAGAACUGCAUGCAAGACUGGCGUGCUAGAGUAGGGCGGAGGAUGGUGGGAUUUACUGUGUAGCGGUGAAGUGCGUAGAUAUAGGAAGGAACACCAGAGGCGAAGGCGACCACCUGUGCUCAUACUGACACUGAAGUGAGAAAGCAUGGGGAGCAAACAGG
rnacentral:rRNA from 1 species